CAAUAGCGUAUAUUUAAGUUGCUGCAGUUAAAAAGCUCGUAGUUGGAUUUCGGGUGGGAAUGGCCGGUCCGCCGUUUCGGUGUGCACUUGCUACGCCCACCUUGCUGCCGGGGACGUGCUCUUGAGUUCACGCUCGGGACACGGAGUCGGCGAGGUUACUUUGAGUAAAUUAGAGUGUUCAAAGCAGGCCUACGCUCUGAAUACAUUAGCAUGGAAUAACACGAUAGGACUCUGGCCUAUCUUGUUGGUCUGUAGGACCGGAGUAAUGAUUAAGAGGGACAGUCGGGGGCAUUCGUAUUUCAUUGUCAGAGGUGAAAUUCUUGGAUUUAUGAAAGACGAACUACUGCGAAAGCAUUUGCCAAGGAUGUUUNCAUUAA
rnacentral:rRNA from 1 species